rnacentral:rRNA from 1 species
GACGAACGCUGGCGGCGUGCUUAACACAUGCAAGUCGAACGGAAAGGCCCUGCUUGCAGGGUACUCGAGUGGCGAACGGGUGAGUAACACGUGGGUUAUCUGCCCUGCACUUCGGGUUAAGCCUGGUCAACUGGGUCUAGUACCGGAUAGGAGCCAUUUUUAGUGUGAUGGUUGGAAAGUUUUUUCGGUGUAGGCUGAGCUGGCGGCCUAUCAGCUUGUUGGUGGGGUAAUGUCCUACCAAGGCGGCUACGGGUAGCCGGCCUGAGGGGGUGGCAAGCCACAUUGGGACUGAGAGGAGGCACAGACUCCUACGGGAGGCAGAAGUGGGGAAUAUUGCAGAAUGGGCGCAAGCCUGAUGCAGCGACGCCGCGUGGGGGAUGACGGCCUUCGGGUUGUAAAAUACUUUCGCUAGGGACGAAGCUUUUUGUGACGGUACCUAGAUAAGAAGCACCGGCUAACUACGUG